rnacentral:ncRNA from 1 species
CGGGUUUGGGAGAACCCAAUGGUUACCGACGGGUCCGGCGUGAAGGUUUGGGAGAACCUGCGUUCGGAUCGCCUCACAGGGGAGAACCACCGAUGCAGAAUACGCUUCUGGUCGGCCUAUCGAAGCAGAUGGUGCUGG